AUGGCAAAUCAUUAUGCUCCUCUCAGGGUUAUUCUUCUACUGUUGUUGGUCUUCCCUUGUUUCGCCUCUGAAGCUGAUAUCCAGUGCUUGAGAUCUGUUCAGCAGUCAGUGAUUGACCCCAACGGUGUACUCAAGUCCUCAUGGAAUUUUGACAACGGCACUGCUGGUUUCACAUGCCGAUUUACCGGCGUGGAAUGUUGGCACCCGGAUGAGGACCGAGUUCUUUCUUUGCGCCUAGGCAACCUCGGUCUCCAGGGUUCAUUUCCUCGCGGUCUUCAGAAUUGUAGCAGUAUGACUGGGCUGGAUCUGUCAAACAACAACUUUUCAGGACCUAUCCCUCAAGACAUCUCCCGAGAAAUACCAUACUUAACAUCAUUGGACCUCUCCUACAAUGGUUUUUCUGGCACCAUCCCACCAAAUAUAUCAAACAUGACUUACCUGAACGUCCUCAAUCUCCAACAUAACCAGUUUAGUGGCGAAAUUCCACCGCAGUUCAGUCUUCUGACUCGGUUAACUGCAUUCAAUGUCGCAGAGAACCGACUAUCAGGGUUUAUUCCAUAUUCAUUAGGAAAAAAUUUCACGGCAUCGAAUUUUGCCGGUAAUCAAGGGCUAUGUGGGGCUCCAUUAGAUGAAUGCCAGGCUUCAGCAAAGAGCAAGAACAAUGCGGCAAUCGUUGGAGCUAUUGUUGGCGUCGUAGUUGUGAUCAUAAUUGUUGCAAUAGUUGUGUUCGUUUGUCUGCGGAAAUUACCAGCCAAGAAAGCAAAAAAGGAUGAGGAUGAAAAUAAGUGGGCAAAGAGUAUCAAAGGAACAAAAACAAUCAAGGUGUCUAUGUUUGAGAAUCCAGUUUCAAAGAUGAAACUAAGUGAUCUUAUGAAGGCCACCAAACAGUUCAGCAAGGAAAACAUCAUAGCUACUGGAAGGACAGGGACUAUGUACAGGGCAGUGCUACCUGAUGGUUCUUUUCUUGCUGUCAAAAGGCUACAAGAUUCACAACAUUCUGAAUCACAGUUCACUUCAGAAAUGAAGACACUUGGCCAAGUAAGGAAUCGCAACUUGGUUCCUCUACUUGGAUUUUGCAUUGCUAAGAAGGAGAAGUUGUUGGUGUACAAGCACACACCCAAAGGAUCACUCUAUGAUCAGUUACAUGAAGAGGGGAAAGAUUGCAAGAUGGAUUGGCCUCUGAGGUUAAGAAUUGGUAUUGGUGCAGCAAAAGGUCUUGCAUAUCUUCACCACACUUGCAAUCCUCGAAUCCUUCACCGCAAUAUAAGCUCCAAAUGCAUCCUCUUGGAUGACGACUAUGAACCAAAGAUUUCAGAUUUUGGGCUUGCUAGGCUUAUGAACCCCCUAGACACCCAUCUCAGUACCUUUGUCAACGGGGAAUUUGGAGAUAUUGGUUAUGUGGCACCAGAGUAUGGGAGCACGCUGGUGGCCACACCGAAGGGUGACGUCUACAGCUUCGGAGUGGUUCUCCUCGAGCUUAUCACCGGUGAGAGGCCUACUCAGGUUUCCACUGCUCCAGAUAACUUCAGGGGGAAUCUAGUAGAGUGGAUCACCUACCUAUCCAACAAUUCCAUUCUCCAAGACUCAAUCGACAAGUCGUUGAUAGGGAAGGACAAUGACAGUGAGCUGAUGCAGUUCCUGAAAGUCGCAUGUUCUUGCACAGUCACCACCGCGAAGGAGAGACCCACCAUGUUUGAGGUUUAUCAGCUGCUUAGAGCCAUUGGGGAGAAGUAUCAUUUCUCGGCCGGGGACGACAUGAUGCUGCCACCUCUAAGCACAGAUGGAGAAACCCCGGACGAGCUCAUUGUCGCCAUGUAA
rnacentral:rRNA from 1 species